CUCGCAGUAGUCGUAGUGCAUGUAGUUCUUCUUGGCCCAGGCGACGGUGCCCCACUCGGCGGUGUUGAGCUGCCGGUUCAUCCAGCGGUCGGUGCCGGCGGGGCAGGAGAGCGGGCGGCCGUCGCCGUUGGGGGUGCAGGCGUCGGCGUUGUAGCCGCGGUAGGAGACGACGAAGGGGGAGUCGGCCCAGUCGACCUUCACCUUCCCCUGCUGCGUGGCCCAGUAGCUGCCGUCCCAGAGCGUGGCGUGCACGGACAUGGGCUUGCCGCCGGGGUACGGGAGGUCGGCGUAGCGCUUGAAGCUCCGGAUGAAGAGGUCGUCCACCUUGAAGAUGACGUUCUUGUCGUUCCAGAUGAUGGUGUAGGUGUGG
rnacentral:lncRNA from 1 species